UGUAACACUGUUUCUAAGUGAAAUUUGCUCCUCAGGGGAAGCGUAAAAGAAAAAUGAGAAGGAAAGGCCUUCUGAAUGCUUAACCAUGGUCCUGGAAUCCAUAAUUCAUGGCUUUUAGUAAAUUCCCAGCUGCUGCUUUGCUUGAGGUGGGUUUAGAUGCAAAGACCUAAUAAGAUCUCUGGAUGCUGAAUAACAAAGUAAAUUCAUCUGGCACCUCUGACUUCCAACCACAAGGCCGCUCAUUGGACAGAAAAAAACUGACAGAGGGGGAAGGACAAACGAGUACUCGAAGAGAUGUGUAGGGGGCUAAUGGUUUUUUGUGCCAAAAAACAGAAUUGUCGUUGGGAGGGGUUUUCAGUUUUGGCAAGGAAUAAAAGGUUAAACCAUUCCCAUAGCCUCGGAGAUGGAGAAGAGCCCAAAAGACUCACAGCACAAACAAUUUCAAAACUAGGGAAAUGGGAGUGGAAGGCAGGAAACACAAAUAUCUUAUUUAGAAGUCAUUCUAAUGAGUAUCAAUUAAGAGGAAGAGACAACCCCAUAUACUGCUUUCUCCUCAUAGCUGAGAGGCAUAUCUUGAUGCUUACAUCUCAUCAUUCACCCUAUUUAUGUACAAUAAUAAGUCAUUUCAUCAGCUUUGCAUAUAUUCCACUGGAUUGAAUGCAGUCUAGGAUAGAGACUGCAUCACCAGGGGAAUGCAAAUUGGCGCAGCUGCUUUGGGAAAAAGUUGGUGUUAUCUCCUAAAGUUGAACCUUAAUACACCCUAAUACCUAGCAGUUCCACUUUUAGGCAUAUAGCCAAGAUAAAUUCUUGCAUAUACCCAGCAGAAGAUAUGUAUAAGAAUGUUCAUAAUACUAAAACCUGGGAAUAAAUGCUUAUAACUGAAGAGAACAAAUAAAUGGUAGAUUCACAUAAUGGAUAUGACACAGUAAUCAAACAAACGAACCACAGCAAUUUUACAACUGUAUGGAUAAAUCUCCACAAUAUAAUAUGCAAGUGGGGAAAAAACCAAGACUGAUCAAAAUGAAUAUACCCUUUUUGUAAAGUUAAAAACAAUUAAAAUCAUAUACUUUUAAAGGACUGCAUAGAUAUACAGAGAAUACACACAUGUAUAUAGGAAAGCCUGGGAAUGAUGAUCAUAGCAUUCAGGAUGAUUUGGGAUGGACUGGGGGGACUACGUGGUGGGAUGUGGGUUGUCAAGGUCCUGGUUUUUAUUUGGGGGGGCUGCAUUUGCAGGUGUUUCAUACAAAUGACUAAAGAAGAAAUAAGUAGAAAUGGGCCAUGCAUGGGCCAAUGUUGAGAGUGUGACCAAGGAUUAUGAUGAUGAAUCUAAUUAUGGCCACCUGAGAUCCAAUGGGGAAAAAAAAAAACAGGAAAAAAAGAAAAGAAAUCAUGCUGAUCCCUGAACACUUCAUUUA